rnacentral:rRNA from 1 species
GAUGAACGCUGGCGGCGUGCCUAAUACAUGCAAGUCGAGCGAACAGAUGAGGAGCUUGCUCCUCUGACGUUAGCGGCGGACGGGUGAGUAACACGUGGAUAACCUACCUAUAAGACUGGGAUAACUUCGGGAAACCGGAGCUAAUACCGGAUAAUAUAUUGAACCGCAUGGUUCAAUAGUGAAAGACGGUAUUGCUGUCACUUAUAGAUGGAUCCGCGCCGCAUUAGCUAGUUGGUAAGGUAACGGCUUACCAAGGCGACGAUGCGUAGCCGACCUGAGAGGGUGAUCGGCCACACUGGAACUGAGACACGGUCCAGACUCCUACGGGAGGCAGCAGUAGGGAAUCUUCCGCAAAGGGCGAAAGCCUGACGGAGCAACGCCGCGUGAGUGAUGAAGGUCUUCGGAUCGUAAAACUCUGUUAUUAGGGAAGAACAAAUGUGUAAGUAACUAUGCACGUCUUGACGGUACCUAAUCAGAAAGCCACGGCUAACUACGUG